AUACGACCCCCAGAAAGCAAGGGGAAGGGUGUAAAAAUUGCAGAUCCAGUAACUUCUGCUUGAGUGACUCUUGUAGCAGUGGUAAGACCUUGGCUUGUACGCUAAAAUGUAUUUAUUUUUAAAUGUAUCCCCUCAGUUACUAAAAGCACCAUAAGCAGCGAUGCCCUGCUGGUCCUUGAAAAGCAGGGAGGUGACGACGGGGAGAGGAAGACUGGCACGGCCAUUCUUGAACUGGAGGAGGACUUGCUGUCUUACGAAGGCGUGUCCAAAGAGGAUCGGGAGGCACUGUCUCCAGAGGACGAUGCCUUUGACGAGAAUGACUAUAACAGGCUUUUGGAUGUUGAGGCAGAAGGCAAUGACAAUUCUGAUGAUCCUAACCAGCAUUUGGAAGGUACCUAUGAUGCCUCCAAGGUGCCAGAGCACAGUGACACUGAGAACUAUGAGGGGGCUGGGGAGCCUGGUCACUUCGAAGAGGCGGAUGAGUGGAGGGCUCUGUCUGCAGAGGAAGCCGGUGGUAACUGAAGAUGCAGUUCUGUCUAGUUAUUGGAUUAUCAUGACUGCUAAAUAAAGGUGUUGACAUUUU